AAGAACCAGCUGAUAGCCUUUUGGGGGUUCUCUUGUUAAGUUACUUUUUUUUUUUUUUUCGCUUUUUCACCUUUAAAAUUCUCUCUUUAAUUUUUGCCAUUUUAAUUAUGAUAUGUCUUGGUGUGGGUCUGUUUGGGUUCAUCUUGUUUGGGAUCCUCUAUGCUUCUUGUACCUGGAUAUCUGUAUCCUUCAGGUUCGAGAAGUUUUCAGCCAUAAUUUCAUCAAAUACAUUUUUGACCCUUUUCUAUCUCUCUUCUCCUUCUGGUACUCCUAUAAUGCAAAUGUUAGUACACUUGAUGUUGUCCCAGAGGUUCCUUAAACUAUCAUUUUGUUUAACUUUCUCUCUCUCUAUGAAAUUAGGUGAAAUGGUUACCUAUCCUGGUCUUCAAGGGGUAUCCUUGUGUGGGAACACCUCUAUGCAGUCUGCGUGUGCCCGGUGGCUUUGAUGUGAGAGCUAGAUCUGAAGUGAGCUCAAGUGACAUCCUCCCCCAGAGUGUGCUGGCAGCUAUCACCUUGGUGGGAGGUGGGGUUAGAGAUGAAGGUGUUAGAGCCAGAGCCAGGUGUGAGCCAGGACUUCUCUUAUGCUCAGUGGUCAUCAUCACCCUAAGUGGGGUGGUGGUCCCAGGGUGCUGCAACAGAAGCCCUAAGGGUUGACUCUAAGCUGGUUCAGUUCCCUCUAUGUGUGCAUUCUUCUUCUGGGCAACAUUACCUUCACCCCAGUGGGAAGCAGCGCUCGAGCAAGAGGGGCCUGAGCCAGCACCUGGUGUGGGCUGGGGCAUGUGCUGGACAAUUUCAGGAAACUGGCCAGAGCCCUGGGCUGUUCUCAAUCUGUUUCCUCUGCCUUGUUCCCUGGAGUAAACAGGCAUGUGUGUGAGCUCUUCACAAGCGGAGUCUCUGUUUCUUACAGUCCUCUGGUAAGUCCCACUGGCUUUCAAACCAGCUAAGGGACUCAUUUUUCCAAUGUUAGAGGCCAGGACUGGGGUGCCCAAUAUGUGGCUCAAGCUCCUCACUCCCCAGGGAGGAGGAUCUCUGAGCUCGUGAUAUCCCUCUGCUCUUCUGUGUCCCCUCCUAGGGGUGUGGGUCCCAAACUGAUCGCUUCUUUUCCCUUCCUAUCUUACUUUGUGCGUAGCUUUCUUUACAGCCCUGGUUGUAGAAGAGUCUUCCUGCCAGUCUCCAGUUUGUUUUCAGUGAGGAUUUCUCCACAUGUACAUGUAUUUUGGACGUGUUCAUGGGGCAAGACUGGCACCAGUCCACGGGCCAUAUUUUGAGAAACACUGAGACAGAACAAAUGUUCUUGCCGUGCCUUCCUUCCUGUUUAUUUCAUACUUGAAAUGUUGGAAACCAUAAUGUCAAAGUGGAAAAUGUUGCCUGGUUAUUUACACAGAUGAUAUAAGAAGUUGACAUUUUGUGAAUUUCAUGCCCUAAAGUUGGUUCUCUGGGAGACAAUGUGAGGAGCAAUAGAAGGGCCCGCCCCAGAUUCUCAUUUGUCUCUAAGUGUUGCUCUUCUCCAAGCAGAGAAUGGUAUCUUUUUACAUGGUGCCACCUCACUGGCUUAGAAAAUGGCAGAGCAAGGACCAUUCCAGUGUACCUGUGUGCAAGUUUCUUUGGAGUGGAGUUUCCUGGGCACUGGUGUUGUGCAUGUACAACUGGAUUACAAAUGCCAGCUUAUUUUCCAAAGUGGCUUUGCCAAUUUCCACUCCCUCCAUUGAUGUCUGACAGUCUCUUUGUUCCAUGAAGUACAAACAAGGGCAACUGAACUAGCAUUGCAUACAUCAAACCUGCUGAAGGAGUUUCUACUGGGGAAAACUCACAGAGAUGGCAUGAGUAUAAGUGAGUGGGUCUCCUCUUGUCCCGAUCACUCUCUGAGGCAGCACACAACAAACUGACGUGGCCAGAAGUCAGACUCUGGGAUAGGAAAUCCCACAUCUUGGUCUGAAGGUUUUCAAGAAUCACUAUUGAGGAAGCAUGAGUAUCUCUUUUUAUAUGAUCAGAGGCUCCAACACAGUAAAAAAUAAGAUGUGGUAGAGUCAUGGCCCAGCUCUCUCCUGUCAGCUCUGUGUUGAUAGCUAAGUGUAUAGCAGCUGCCGUUUUCCUGUCAGGAUCCAACCGAGGGCUGUGGUCCAAGCCUUCAGUUGACAUCUUAAGUGCUGAACUAUAGCCAGUUUCCAUGGAGCUUUGAAGGAUGCAGUUCUUCUUCUGGAAGGCCAGUCUUCAGGGGGACCCAUAUUGGACAAAUUAACCCCUACCUGUCAUUCCACAUCCUUUUCUUUCUGGUAUCACUUUGUUAUUAAUUUUUAAGUUAAUUAUGUUGAAGUUAGAGUAUGUGGUACUAUGAUUAUAAAUCUCUGAAAGUUAAGACUUUCUCUCUGGCCUAGCCUAAGACUUUCUUUCUGGCCUAUGUCAAUCCUAUGCAUUGACAGGAACAGUAUUUUAAAUGUAUCUAUUAUGUCAAACUUGUUAAUUAUAUUGUUGAGAACUUCUAUAGCCUUAUUUUUGUUUGACUAACUUAUCAAUCACUUAGAGAGGCAUGUUGAAAUCUUCUGAUAUGCUGGUGGAUUUUUUAGCUUCCUCUAUGUAGUUUUACACAUUUUUGGUUUAUUUAUUUGAGGCCUAUUUUGCAAGAUUCAUACAAGUUUAUAAAAUAUUUUUCUGAUGAAUAAACACUUUUGUUGCUAUGUAAAUGAUCCUCUUUCCCUCCUAUAAUUCUCUUUGCUAUAACUUGAUUUUGUUUUGUAUUAUUAUACCCCUAAAACUUUCUUUUAAUUAGUAUAUGACAGGCAUUUGUUCUAUGUUUCUAAUUUUCAACUUUUCUGUGCCCUCUGUCUUUUAAAAAGCAUUCACUUAUUUGUUUUUAUCCAGACAGAAAAAAAAAAUCAUUGAAUUUUAGUGGGGAGUUUAGUUCUUUACUUUAUGGAUUAUGAGUGUGGAUAUAUUUAUUUUUAUUUUUCUCAGCUUAUUUUCUACCCACUUGUUCUAUAUUUUGUUUAUGUGUUGGUUUACCCUUUCUCUAUGCCACUUCAACUGGGGUUUAAUUUCCCCACUUUAUUUUUUUUAACAUCUACUUGAAAGUUCUACAUUCAAUUGUUAUUUUUUAAGAGAUUCCUAUGGAAAUUUUAACACGCAUUAUUAGCUUAAGACGUUUAAAGUUAAUAAACAUCUUAACUCUUCUCCUAAAAAACAGAUGAACUUUAAAAGAAUCAGCUCCAGUCACUCCUGUCAAAUAGCAUUUGGUUGUUGUCCAGAAUUCAGGCCUAUCUUGAUUUUUUAUCCUCCCAAAUUAGAUACUAUUAUCGUUACAUUUAAUCAAUAUUUGUUUAGAUUUAACAACAUAUUCAUUAUUUUAGUUUCGAUUUGUUUCAUUUCAUUCAUACAUACCUUCUGGAAUCAUUUUCUUUCUAACCGAAUAAAUUCCUGAUGUUCUCCCUUUGUAGGGUCUACUGCUUGUAAAAGCUCUCAGUUUUUGUCUGGAAAUGUUUUAUUUCCCCCUUGCUCUUUCUCAAGGUAUGCAUUUACAGAUUGACAGGUAUUUUCUCUCAGCACUUUACAGAUCUUACUCCCUGACUCCUGCCUUCCAUUGUUGCUGCUAGAAGUCAGCUGUUACUCUAAUAGUUAUUCCUUUGUAUGUGCUAUUUUUCUGCUUUUUAAAAUAACUGAUUGUGAGAGCCUCUGUCUUCGGUGCACCUUGAGUUCACUAUCAUGUAUCUCGAUGAGUUUCUUUUAUUUUUCUUGGGAUUCAUUGGGACCUUUUAAUCUGAGGACUGGUAUCUUUGAUAUAUUCUGGAGACAUCUUAGGCAUCAUCUCUAAGAACACUCCUACACCCCUUCUUUAUUUUGUCUCUGUUUAGAUAUAUAUGCAUCUUAAGUGCUUUAUCAUAUUUUCAUUCUCUUGUCUCUCUCUACUGCAUUCUGGGUAAUUUCUUCAGAUCUCUUUUCCAGAUCACUAAGUAGCUCUUCAGUUGUGUCUAAUCUGCUGUUAAAAUCAUCCAUUGCACAGCAAAUCCAUAUCUGAAACUCAGUGCCUUGGAAAUACACAAGUCCACAUAGUUUUUGUAUAAAGGAUGCUCCUUGCAGCUUUAUUUGAAACAGGAAAAAGAAAACUAAAUAUCUCUCGGUAGGGAAAUGGUUCAAUAAAUUACAAACAUCUGUUGAAUUAAAUUAACACUAAAAGCUUUUGCACAGCAAAGGAAACCAUCAAAAAAACAAAAAGACAACCUACUGAAUGGGAGAAAAUAUUUGCAAAUGAUACCAAAUAACUCCAUUUUAAAACGGGUAGAAGAACUGAAUAGACAGUUUUCCAAAGAGGAAAUGCAGAUGGCCAACAAGCACAUGAAAAGAUGCUCAAUAUCACUAACUGUUACCGAAAUGCAAAUCAAAACCACAAUGAGAUACCACCUCAUACCUGUCAGAAUGGCCAUCAUCAAAAAGAGGACAAGUAACAAGUGUUGGUGGGGAUGUGGAGAAAAGGGAGCCCUCCUGCACUGUUGGUGGGAAUGUAAAUUGGUGCAGCCACUAUGGAGAACAGUAUGGAGGUUUCUCACAAAACUAAAAAUAGAUCUACUAGUAAAAAAAAUAAAUAAAAAUAAAAAUAAAAAUAGAUCUACUAGUAGUGGAGAGCAAUUCCACUCCUGGGUAUUUAUCUGAAAAAAACCCAAAACCACUAAUUUGAACUGAGACAUGCACCCUAAUGUUCAUAGCAGCAUUAUUUACAAUUGCUAAGAUAUGGAAGCAACUUAAGUGUCUAUCAACAGAUGAAUGGAUAAAGAAGAUGUGGUGUAUGUAUGUGUGUGUGUGUAUAUAUAUAUAUAUAUAUACACACACCAAUAUUCCAAUAUAUAUGGAAUUCAUAUUCCAUAUAUAUACCAAUGGAAUACUCCUCAGCCAUAAAAAAGAAUGAAAUUUUGCCAUUUGCAGCAGCAUGGAUGGACUUGGAAGGCAUCAUGCUAAGUGAAAUAAGUCAUACAGAGAAAGACAAAUACUGUAUGAUAUCACUUAUAUGUGGAAUCUAAAAAAUACAACAAACUAGUGAAUAUAUCAAAAAAGAAGUAGAACCACAGAUAUAUAGAACAAAC